GACGAACGCUGGCGGCGUGCUUAACACAUGCCAGUCGAACGGAAAGUCCCUGCUUGCAGGGUACUCGAGUGGUGAACGGUUGAGUAAUACGUUGGUGAUCUGCCCUGCUCUUCGGGAUAAGCCCUGGUAACUGGUUCUAUUAUCGGACAGGAGCUUUUUUUAGUUUGAUGGUUGGAACGUUUUUUCGGUGUAGGAUUAGCUUGCGGCCUAUCAGCUUGUUGGUGGGGUAAUGGCUUACCAAGGCGGCGACGGGUAGCCGGCCUGAGAGGGUGGACGGCCACAGUGAGACUGGGACACGGACCAGACCCAGACGGGAGGCAGCAGUAGGAGUGAGGGAAAAAGGGGAGCGAGCGUGAGGCUGCGACAGCAAGUGGGGGAGGACGAUGUACGGGUUGGAGACGCAUAGCGCUAGGGACGAAGCUGAUAGUGACAGUACCGAGAGAAGAAGCUCCGGCUAACUCCGUG
rnacentral:rRNA from 1 species